CCCUUAGAUGUUCUGGGCUGCACGCGUGCUACACUGAUAUUGCCAAUAUGUCAUUCUUAUCCGAAAUGGAUUGGGUAUCAAGUAAUGAAAUUUCAUGCUUGGAAUCGGUAAUUGCAAUUUUAUCGUGAACGAGGAAUUCCUAGUAAGCACUAGUCAUCAGCUAAUGUUGAUUAUGUCCCUGCCCUUUGUACACACCGCCCGUCGCUACUACUGAUUGGGUGUUCAAGUGAGAUGCUUAGACCCUUGUUGCAUGGUUCAUUAUUGUGCUCCGAAAGGAAAAAGUUUCAAGCUUGAGUGUCUAGAGGAAGUAAAAGUCGUAACA
rnacentral:rRNA from 1 species